UCUCCUACGGGAGGCAGCAGUAGGGAAUCUUCCACAAUGGGCGAAAGCCUGAUGGAGCAACGCCGCGUGUGUGAUGAAGGCUUUAGGGUCGUAAAGCACUGUUGUAUGGGAAGAAAUGCUAGAAUAGGGAAUGAUUCUAGUUCGACGGUACCAUACCAGAAAGGGACGGCUAAAUACGUGCCAGCAGCCGCGGUAAUACGUAUGUCCCGAGCGUUAUCCGGAUUUAUUGGGCGUAAAGCGAGCGCAGACGGUUGAUUAAGUUCUGAUGUGAAAGCCCGGAGCUCAACUCCGGAAUGGCAUUGGAAACUGGUUAACUUGAGUGUGAGAG
rnacentral:rRNA from 1 species